GGCUGGGUAGCUCAGAUGGUUAGAGCGGCGGAUUCAUAACCCGCAGGUCGGCGGUUCGACUCCGCCCUCAGCCACCA
rnacentral:tRNA from 1 species